AUGGGUCUGAAGCGUCCGUAGCCGGCCGGAAAAGUUCCCCGUUAAAUCUGACGAUCCAAUCGUUGGGCUGCGGGGAAUACUCUUCGGCUUGGGGGCGAGGGAGGUCGGCGGUAGUCCCGGGGUAGGGGCGAAAUCCUAUAAUCCCGGGAGGACCACCAGUGGCGAAGGCGGCCGACUAAAACGCGCCCGACGGUGAGGGACGAAAGCUGGGGGAGCGAACGGGAUUAGAUACCCCGGUAGUCCCAGCUGUAAACGAUGCAGGCUAGGUGUUGGGACGGCUACGAGCUGUCCCAGUGCCGCAGGGAAGCCAUUAAGCCUGCCACCUGGGAAGUACGGCCGCAAGGCUGAAUUCUCACGAARAUUUUUCGCGGA
rnacentral:rRNA from 1 species